rnacentral:lncRNA from 1 species
GUGUCUUCCCUCAGGUAAGAACACCAUACAUAAAACCAGUGUCUUCCCUCAGGUAAGAACACCAUACAUAAAACCAGUGUCUUCCCUCAGGUAAGAACACCAUACAUAAAUCCAGUGUCUUCCCUCAGGUAAGAACACCAUACAUAAAUCCAGUGUCUUCCCUCAGGUAAGAACACCAUACAUAAAUCCAGUGUCUUCCCUCAGGUAAGAACACCAUACAUAAAACCAGUGUCUUCCCUCAGGUAAGAACACCAUGUGCAUAUAACACUUUCAAUCACUUGUCACCCAGUAGUACCUCAGCACUGACUUGGUUCAUCCCAGUCUAUAACCAAGUUCCUCACACAAAGUUCCAUUAGACCCUCAGGAAUUUCUAACUAUUACACCUGGCGUUCUGUGUCAUUUAUCACAUAUACAUCCUAUUACGGGCUUGUACAUACAUUUAGGUAUUGACUGUUCCUGUAAUUAUCAACCCCAUGAGUGAGGUGCCACUUACAUACUGAAAUGAGUCAUCAACCACACAUUGCUUUUUCUAAUAUCAGACUUUUGGUUUAACAGGCGUCUGCUUACCUUAUAAUUUGAUGCGCUGCACAGUGGGAUGAAGAUCAUCCAGACGCAGUGGUCACUCACUCCUGGCAAGCUCGCCAUAUGUUGGUUGGUCCUUUGCAUGGAGUGAUGUAAGUUUCCUAUAACAAUCAGUCUUCCAGAUAGAUGACACAGGAACCUUGGUAUAAAACUCUUUAGUAAUAAAAUGCUGAAAACAUGGAUAAAACAGUAUACCACAUAUUCACGGAAAAUGAUUCAAUACAUUACAGAGAGUAGAAAGUCAGUCCCAUACAUACAUACAUACAUACAUACAUACAUACAUACAUACAUACAUACAUACAUACAUACAUACAUACAUGCAUGCAUGCAGUGCAUUCGGAAAGUAUUCAGACCCCUUGACUUUUUCCACAUUUUGUAACGUUACAGCUUUAUUAUGAAAUAGAUUGAAUGACUUUUUCCUCAUCUAUCUACACACAAUAUCCCAUAAUACAAAGAAAUAUCCCAUAAUGACAAAUAAAAAUAAAAGUAUUCACACGCUUUACUCAGUACUUUGUUGAAGCACCUUUGGCAGCUAUGACAGCAUUGAGUGUACUUGGAUAUGACUCUACAAGCUUGGCAACCAUGUAUUUGGGGAGGUUCUCCCAUUCUUCUCUGCAGAUCCUCAAGCUCUGUCAGGUUGGAUGGGGAGUGUCACUGCACAGCUAUUUUCAGGUCUCUCCAGAGAUGUUCGAUUGGGUUUCAAGUCCGGGUUCUGGCUGGGCCACUCAAGGACAUCAGAGACUUGUCCCAAAGCCACUCCUGCAUUGUCUUUGCUGUGUGCUUAGGGUCGUUGUCCUGUUGGAAGUUGAACCUUCGCCCCAGUCUGAGGUCCUGAGAUCUCUGGAGCAGGUUUUCAUGAAGGAUCUCUCUGUACUUUGCUCCGUUCAUCUUUCCCUCGAUCCUGACUAGUUUCCCAGUCCCUGCCGCUGAAAAACAUCCUCACAACAUGAUGCUGCCACCACCAUGCUUCACCGUAGGGAUGGUGCCAGGUUUCCUCCAGACGUGACACUUGGCAUUCAGGCCAAAGAGUUCAAUCUUGGUUUCAUCAGACCAGAGAAUCUUGUUUCUCAUGGUCUUGAGAGUCCUUUAGGUGCCUUUUGGCAUGCUCCAAGCAGGCUGUCGUGCCAUUUACUGAGUGGCUUCCGUCUGGCCACACUACCAUAAAGGCCUGAUUGAUGGAGUGCUGCAGAGAUGGUUGUCCUUCUGGAAGUUCUCUCAUCGCCACAGAGGAGCAAUGUCAGAGUGACCAUCAUGUUCUUGGUCACCUCCCUGACCAAGGCCCUUCUUCCCCGAUUGCUCAGUUUGGCCUGGCGGCCUCACCAUCACACCUCCUCCAUGCUUCACGGUGGGAACCACACAUGCAGAGAUCAUCCGUUCACCUACUCUGUGUCUCACAAAGACACGACGGUUGGAACCAAAAAUAAAACAUUUGGACUCAUCAGACCAAAGGGCAGAUUUCCGCUGGUCUAAUAUCCAUUGUUCGUGUUUAUUGGCCC